rnacentral:rRNA from 1 species
AUACGGAGGGUGCAAGCGUUACUCGGAAUCACUGGGCGUAAAGCGCGCGCAGGCGGGCUGAUAAGUUGGAUGUGAAAGCCUAUGGCUCAACCGUAGAACUGCAUCCAAAACUGUCAGUCUAGAGUGUGGGAGAGGAAGAUGGAAUUAGUUGUGUAGGGGUAAAAUCCGUAGAGAUAACUAGGAAUACCAAAAGCGAAGGCAAUCUUCUGGAACACUACUGACGCUGAGGCGCGAAGGCGUGGGGAGCAAACAGGAUUAGAAACCCCAGUAGUCC